GCCGGGCACGGUGGUGCGUGCCUGUAAUCCCAGCUACUCAGGAGGCUGAGGUGGGAGGAUCGCUUGAGCCCAGGAGUUCUGGGCUGUAGUGCGCUAUGCCGAUCGGGUGUCCGAACUAAGUUUGGCAUCAGUAUGGUAACCUCCUGGGAGCGGGGGACCACCAGGUUGCCUAAGGAGGGGUGAACCGGCCCAAGUCGGAAACGGAGCAGGUCAAAACUCCCGUGCUGAUCAGUAGUGGGAUCGCGCCUGUGAACAGCCACUGCACUCCAGCCUGGGCAACAUAGUGAGACCCCAUCUCU
rnacentral:SRP_RNA from 1 species